rnacentral:lncRNA from 1 species
CUUUUUUCAAUUUACAUUUCUUUGUAUUUAUCCAUAAAAAUGAUGCCAGACAAUUUAUGAUUUCGAUUGGCUAAGAAACGCUGCCUGCCUAUCAGGCUCAUCCUGGAGAUCGAAUUUGAAUAUUGAAACAAUGUUGCAAAUGUCCAGAGAGACUGACAGCAAGGUUUAUAUUAAUCUCUGCUGUUGUUAACUAAAUGUUAGUCUAAAAGAAAUGUGAGAUAAUGUCUAGAUGCUCUUUAUAUUGCCUAGCUGGGCUGAUGAGACAGCGGAUUGCGCAGUCAGAUGGAACAGAGUAAAUAGGCAUUUCAACUUCAUAGCUUUAGCCAGUGGUAACUUGUGGAAUAGACACCGGCUGGAAUGCAGUUUUAACCAAUCAGCAUUCGGAUUAGACCCACCCAUUGUAUAAUUAAGAAAUAAAACAUGAGGGGGUGUGGUAUAUGGCCGAAAUACCACGCCUAAGGACUGUUCUUAUGCACAAUGCAUCGCGGAGUGCCUGGACACAGCCCUUAGCCGUGGUAUAUUGGCCAUAUACCACAACUGGUUACCAACGUCAUUGGAGCAGUAAAAAUAAAUGUUUUGUCGUACCACGGCUGUCAACUAUUCAGCAUUCAGGGCUCGAACCACUCAGUUUAUAAUUUUAAAUUUAUCACGUAUUUAGCUUCCAGUAUUACCAUUUGAAAACAAUAGAAAAGUGAAUUCAGUAAUGUACAAGGUUUUACCUUUUGAAAAAAGUUUGUAGCCUAAUACAUCAUAAUGUAAACAGAAUACAUCAUCUCAUCUCUCCAACUGUCAAUAGAAAACUUCCGUCUGACUUCGGUUUAUGCUGAAAACAGUGCUGCCGUUCAAAUUAAUUCACAGUUUCCCCGGUUCUGACCAUUCUGCCUGCCCUGAUCCCGAGCCUGCCUGCCGUUCUGUACCUGCCUGACUCUGACCCGAUUACGAACCUCUGCCUGCCCCCGAGCCUGCCUGCCAUUCUGUGCCUUACUGACUCUGCCAAGGAUUACGGACCUCGGCCUACCCUCCACCUGUCUUUUGCCUGCCCCCUG